GUUUUAAUAGUUUAAAAAAAACAUUGGUCUUGUAAAUCAAAAUUAAUUAAAAAUAUUUUAAAACU
rnacentral:tRNA from 1 species